rnacentral:lncRNA from 10 species
AGGCACUCCCUCCAAGACAGACUUCUCUGUGGAAGCAGCAUAUUGGAGGCCUGCUAGGACAGUUCACAGGAAUGGCUGUGGAGGGCUGCAGGCAUGUCUCUAAUCAGAACCUGCUUGUCUUUUUGAUUGACAGCUGCACUUUCUCCACCAAGAAGUGGGUACUGUGCAAGUUAUGGUCAUAGUGAAGGUGGGGGACAUGGAGAUGAUCCCGAAUGAGCUGCAUAGGCCUCAUCGAAUCAGUGGAAAGCCUUGAG